rnacentral:rRNA from 1 species
UACGUAGGGUGCGAGCGUUGUCCGGAAUUAUUGGGCGUAGAGAGCUCGUAGGCGGUUUGUCACGUCUGCUGUGAAAUCCCGAGGCUCAACCUCGGGCCUGCAGUGGGUACGGGCAGACUGGAGUGCGGUAGGGGAGAAUGGAAUUCCUGGUGUAGCGGUGGAAUGCGCAGAUAUCAGGAGGAACACCGAUGGCGAAGGCAGUUCUCUGGGCCGUAACUGACGCUGAGGAGCGAAAGCGUGGGGAGCGAACAGG